GCCGCCGUAGCUCAGUCGGUUAGAGCGUGGGUCUAAUAAGCCCAAGGUCGCAGGUUCGACCCCUGCCGGCGGCA
rfam:Brugia pahangi genome assembly, scaffold: BPAG_contig0000234